UUCCAGACUCCUACGGGAGGCAGCAGUGGGGAAUAUUGCACAAUGGGGGAAACCCUGAUGCAGCGACGCCGCGUGAGUGAAGAAGUAAUUCGUUAUGUAAAGCUCUAUCAGCAGGGAAGAAAAUGACGGUACCUGAGUAAGAAGCCCCGGCUAACUACGUGCCAGCAGCCGCGGUAAUACGUAGGUGGCAAGCGUUAUCCGGAUUUACUGGGUGUAAAGGGCGUGUAGGCGGGUCUGCAAGUCAGAUGUGAAAUCUCAUGGCUCAACCAUGGAAUUGCAUUUGAAACUGUAGAUCUUGAGUGAUGGAGAGGCAGGCGGAAUUCCGUGUGUAGCGGUGAAAUGCGUAGAUAUACGGAGGAACACCAGUGGCGAAGGCGGCCUGCUGGACAUUAACUGACGCUGAGGCGCGAAAGCGUGGGGAGCAAACAGGAUUAGAUACCCGGGUAU
rnacentral:rRNA from 1 species